rnacentral:lncRNA from 1 species
GCAACAAUAUCACACACAGCUCCCCACAUAUGAGAGCUUGUUGUUCUUCUUGUUGCCAGGUCUGCGUGUUGGCUGUGGCUCAACUGGCCUUGACCAUUUUAGGACCCAGGCUGCAGAGGCAACACCUGGAGAAUGUUCUUCCCAUCAUGGGAGGCAGCAGCUCAAGAAAGAGAUGCUUCAGUGACCUGGCUAUGGAGAGAUGCCGCCUUGGCAGGGGAGGCUUGAAUUGGUCUUACUCUACUGUUUCAGGGCUUCUGUGCCUUGCACAUAAAAACAGGAAUAGAGUGAGCAAGACAUGAGAGCUGAAGGGCUCUUGAGGGGCCCCUGAGAAGGACGCAGAACCAGGAGACAGGAGUGUCAGCUGGGGGAAUUCUUGGAGCAGACGGAGGAGGGGGGAAGGGAAGCUGGACCAACAUGGACUGACCGCAGUGAAAGAGAAUUUCCCAGAAUCCUCUGGUGCUUGAUGGAAUCCCCGCUGCCAUUUCCCCAGUAAAGCCUCAGAAAAAAAAAAAUUAACUACAUGUUCCAUGUCUGUAGCUGUCACAUUACUAUUUUCUUUUGGAACGUGAUGGGGAAAAAAACGCAAGACUGGCCUCAGAGAGACCAUGGUGUGCACGCAAUGAUGGGCUGCCCAGGCGGGUAAAGUGAUACUCGGGUUACAGACACAAAGCAUCUCUUCUUGGCACCCAGGAGAAGGCAAUGGCACCCCACUCCAGUACUCUUGCCUGGAAAAUCCCAUGGACGGAGGAGCCUGGUAGGCUGUAGACCAUGGGGUGGCUAAGAGUCGGACACGACUGAGCGACUUCACUUUCACUUUUCACUUUUGUGCACUGGAGAAGGAAACGGCAAUCCACUUCCGUGUUCUUGCCUGGAGAAUCCCAGGGACGGGGGAGCCUGGUGGGCUGCCAUCUAUGGGGUCGCACAGAGUCGG